rnacentral:rRNA from 1 species
AUGGGCAAGGCGGGCAGGUGGCUCCGAAGCUUCUUGCCGGGCAAGAAGGACAGGGGGAGGGACGCCGGGGACCACAAGACCGGCCCUGAGGAGACGCCGCGGUGGGUGCCGGCGUGGAGUUCGCAGGCUGUGACGCCGGCGUCGACCCCGGGGGUCAAGGAGAAGCGGAGGUGGAGCUUCCGGCGUCCUGCGACGGCGGUGGGCGCCGGGGCGGGGAAGGAUGGCGCGUUCUUGGAGCCGCGGGUGCUGGACCCCGACCAGAGCGCCAUCGCGGUGGCGAUUGCCACCGCGGCCGCCGCCGAGGCCGCGGUGGCGGCCAAGCAGGCGGCCGCCGCCGUCGUCCGGUACGCCGCGUCCGCGCCGGGGUCGAAGCGCACCGUCAUCGGCAUUGAGGAGGCCGCGGCGAUCAAGAUUCAGUCCGUCUUCAGAUCCUACCUGGCGAGGAAGGCGCUGUGCGCGCUUAGGGGGCUGGUGAAGCUGCAGGCGCUCGUGCGCGGCCACCUCGUCCGGCGGCAGGCCAGCAACACGCUGCGCUGCAUGCAGGCGCUCGUCGCCGCCCAGAACAGGGCACGCACGGCGCGCCUCCGGCUGCUCGACGACGAGAGGCCCCUCCGCACGCCACGGAUGACGCCCACACGCCGCUCGCCGCACCAUCCCCGCCUCCGGCAGCAUCAGGAGACGGAGGAGAACAUCAAGAUCGUGGAGGUGGACACCGGGGCGGGCGACGUGCACUGCACGCCGAGGACGUCCCGGCGCAGCAGCUGCUACGCCACGCCGCUCUGCCGCACGCCGUCCAAGGUGGAGCUGUACCAGAAGGUGUCGCCGACGCCGUCGGCGCUGACGGACGCGAGCGGCCGGUCGUACAGCGGGCGGUACGAGGACUUCUCGUUCGGCACCGCGCGGGCCAGCCCGUACCACUACUACUACGCCUCGGACGCGUCGUGCAAGCAGCCGCCGCCGCCGCAGCAGCAGGGCCACGGCGCCGGCGCCGGCGCGGACCACCCGCUCCUGUUCCCCAGCUACAUGGCCAACACGCAGUCGUCGCGCGCCAAGGCGCGGUCGCAGAGCGCGCCGAGGCAGCGCGCGUCGGUGUCGUCGGCUCCCGAGGCGGCGUCGCCGUGGGAGAGGCAGGCAAGCGCAGGCCGGCGCAGGGCGUCGCUGGAGGGGCCGGCGCAGGCCGCCGCGCGCGGGCUGGCGUCCCCGAAGGGCGCCGUGCGCGUCCAGCGGUGCCAGUCGCAGGCGAGCGCGGCGUGCCCGUGGGGCGUGAGGCUGGACAUGUCGAGCGCGUCCGUCCACGACAGCGAGUGCGGGUCGACGAGCACCAUGAGGACCGCGGCCACCAGCAUGUACUGCUGGUCGGCGGCCGCCAACAGCACCGGCGUCGCGUGA